UUGUAAAAUGGUCCCAGACUCUUAUGAAGCAAGAAAGCAGUGAGAGGCUAAUGCAGAUGCAGAUAUCUAUGCAAGUCACAACAUUGUAGCAAUAAUUUACAAACCACACAUAAAGCUUUUAUGUAUUUAGAUAUAACAUUUCCAAUUUAGGGCCCUAUUUAGAAAAAUCAAGAGUAUAAAGUGCACAUUAACCCCCUUCCUUACACAUCCUACAAUAUCUAUACAUCAAAUCUUGAAUCUAUCACCAAACUGCUACCAAAUACUCACUACCUAGGGGUGGCAAACGGGCCUAAACCCGCCGGACC
rnacentral:lncRNA from 1 species